GUAAGGAAUAUUGGUCAAUGGACGAAAGUCUGAACCAGCCAUGCCGCGUGAAGGAUGAAGGCCCUCUGGGUUGUAAACUUCUUUUAUCUGGGACGAAAAAAGGGUAUUCUUACUCACUUGACGGUACCAGAGGAAUAAGCACCGGCUAACUCCGUGCCAGCAGCCGCGGUAAUACGGAGGGUGCAAGCGUUAUCCGGAUUCACUGGGUUUAAAGGGUGCGUAGGUGGGUAUUUAAGUCAGUGGUGAAAUCUCCGAGCUUAACUCGGAAACUGCCAUUGAUACUAUUUACCUUGAAUGCCCUGGAGGUAAGCGGAAUAUGUCAUGUAGUGGUGAAAUGCUUAGAUAUGACAUAGAACACCAAUUGCGAAGGCAGCUUACUACGGGGUGAUUGACACUGAGGCACGAAAGCGUGGGGAGCAAACAGGAUUAGAUACCCUUGUAGUCC
rnacentral:rRNA from 1 species